AAUACAUGCAAGUCGAACGCUUUGUGGUUCAACUGAUUUGAAGAGCUUGCUCAGAUAUGACGAUGGACAUUGCAAAGAGUGGCGAACGGGUGAGUAACACGUGGGAAACCUACCUCUUAGCAGGGGAUAACAUUUGGAAACAGAUGCUAAUACCGUAUAACAAUGACAACCGCAUGGUUGUUAUUUGAAAGAUGGUUCUGCUAUCACUAAGAGAUGGUCCCGCGGUGCAUUAGCUAGUUGGUAAGGUAAUGGCUUACCAAGGCGAUGAUGCAUAGCCGAGUUGAGAGACUGAUCGGCCACAAUGGGACUGAGACACGGCCCAUACUCCUACGGGAGGCAGCAGUAGGGAAUCUUCCACAAUGGGCGAAAGCCUGAUGGAGCAACGCCGCGUGUGUGAUGAAGGGGUUUCGGCUUCGUAAAACACUGUUGUAAGAGAAGAAUGACAUUGAGAGUAACUGUUCAAUGUGUGACGGUAUCUUACCAGAAAGGAACGGCUAAAUACGUGCCAGCAGCCGCGGUAAUACGUAUGUUCCAAGCGUUAUCCGGAUUUAUUGGGCGUAAAGCGAGCGCAGACGGUUAUUUAAGUCUGAAGUGAAAGCCCUCAGCUCAACUGAGGAAUUGCUUUGGAAACUGGAUGACUUGAGUGCAGUAGAGGAAAGUGGAACUCCAUGUGUAGCGGUGAAAUGCGUAGAUAUAUGGAAGAACACCAGUGGCGAAGGCGGCUUUCUGGACUGUAACUGACGUUGAGGCUCGAAAGUGUGGGUAGCAAACAGGAUUAGAUACCCUGGUAGUCCACACCGUAAACGAUGAGUGCUAGGUGUUUGAGGGUUUCCGCCCUUAAGUGCCGCAGCUAACGCAUUAAGCACUCCGCCUGGGGAGUACGACCGCAAGGUUGAAACUCAAAGGAAUUGACGGGGACCCGCACAAGCGGUGGAGCAUGUGGUUUAAUUCGAAGCAACGCGAAGAACCUUACCAGGUCUUGACAUCCCUUGACAACUCCAGAAGAUGGAGCGUUCCCUUCGGGGACAAGGUGACAGGUGGUGCAUGGUUGUCGUCAGCUCGGGUCGUGAGAUGUUGGGUUAAGUCCCGAAACGAGCGCAACCCUUAUUACUAGUUGCCAGCAUUCAGUUGGGCACUCUAAUGAGACUGCCCGUGGACAAACCGGAAGGAAGGUGGGGGAUAGACGUCAAAUCAUCAUGCCCCUUAUGACCUGGGCUACAAACCUGCUACAAUGGCGUAUACAACGAGUUGCCAACCCGCGAGGGUGAGCUAAUCUCUUAAAGUACGUCUCAGUUCGGAUUGUAGGCUGCAACUCGCCUACAUGAAGUCGGAAUCGCUAGUAAUCGCGGAUCAGCACGCCGCGGUGAAUACGUUCCCGGGUCUUGUACACACCGCCCGUCACACCAUGAGAGUUUGUAACACCCAAAGCCGGUGGGGUAACCUUCGGGAGCCAGC
rnacentral:rRNA from 1 species